GGGAGAGAGAGCCCGGCCGCCGCGAUGGCCCCGCCGCCAACGGCCCGGCCACAUAACGUGAUCCAUCCCUUUGGGAUACGUCACGCUCGCGAGGAAAGUCCCCCCACCUGUUCGGGCAGGUGACCGGACGCAAGUCCGGAGCGGGAGACCGCUGGCUCUGGAACAGAAACGACACGUCUCGGCCCGACCGAUGAUGCGCGCGAACCCAACCGAGAGGAAGGGGAGCUAACCCGCAGAGGACGUGCGGUCGAUCGAUCACGGUUCAAAACCGUGGGUCACGCCCGUCGUGACCGACCGCACAGAGACGGCCGAGGACCGAUGGAACGGCGAACCCUCACCGGUGCAAGUCCGCGCCGUGGUAGCCCGAACGCCCCGCGAUUUCCGCGGACGGCGUGGACGCUCAGCCGAAUGCCGGAUCGAACAGAAGGGGGCUUACUCCUCUCACCC
rnacentral:RNase_P_RNA from 1 species